GGACGGUGAUGAUUCUGAUAUUAAGGUCUCGUUCCUCGUAAUGGGCUAUCCAGUCUUUACCGACCAUUCUGAUACAUCACCACCCAUAUUCUAUGUCC